AACGAACGCUGGCGGCAUGCCUAACACAUGCAAGUCGAACGAGACCUUCGGGUCUAUGGGCGCACGUGUGCGUAACGCGUGGGAAUCUGCCCUUGGGUUCGGAAUAACUCGCCGAAAGGCGUGCUAAUACCGGAUGAUGACGUACGUCCUAAGAGUUAUUGCCCAAGGAUGAGCCCGCGUUGGAUUAGCUAGUUGGUGAGGUAAACGCUCACCAAGGCGACGAUCCAUAGCUGGUCUGAGAAGAUGCUCAGCAACACUGGGACUGAGACACGGCCCAGACUCGUACGGGGGGCAGCAGUAGAGAGUAUUAGGGACUGGGCGAUGGUCUGAUCCAGCCAUGCCGCGUGAGUGGUGAAGGCCUUAGGGUUGUAAAGCUCUUUUAGACGAAAUGUUAAUGACCGUAACGGGAAAAUAAGCACCGGCUAACUCCGUG
rnacentral:rRNA from 1 species